ACUCCCAUGGCGUAGUGGUCACUGCGCUCGCCUUGCACGCGGGAGACCCGGGUUCGAAUCCCGGCGGGGUCA
rnacentral:tRNA from 1 species